rnacentral:rRNA from 1 species
GACGAACGCUGGCGGCGUGCUUAACACAUGCAAGUCGAGCGGAAAGGCCCUUCGGGGUACUCGAGCGGCGAACGGGUGAGUAACACGUGGGUAACCUGCCCCUUGCUCUGGGAUAACUCCGGGAAACCGGGGCUAAUACCGGAUACGACCACUUUAGGCAUCUUCGGUGGUGGAAAGUUUUUCGGCGAGGGAUGGACCCGCGGCCUAUCAGCUUGUUGGUGGGGUAAUGGCCUACCAAGGCAGUGACGGGUAGCCGGCCUGAGAGGGCGACCGGCCACACUGGGACUGAGACACGGCCCAGACUCCUACGGGAAGCAGCAGUGGGGAAUAUUGCGCAAUGGGCGAAAGCCUGACGCAGCGACGCCGCGUGAGGGAUGACGGCC